rfam:Pteropus alecto contig11986, whole genome shotgun sequence.
GGCUCCAUAGUGUAGUGGUUAGCACGUCUGCUUUACACACAGAAGGUCCUGGGUUCAUGCCCCAGAUGGAGCCA